rnacentral:rRNA from 1 species
AGUGAACGCUGGCGGUAGGCCUAACACAUGCAAGUCGAACGGCAGCACAGUAAGAGCUUGCUCUUACGGGUGGCGAGUGGCGGACGGGUGAGGAAUACAUCGGAAUCUACUUUUUCGUGGGGGAUAACGUAGGGAAACUUACGCUAAUACCGCAUACGACCUACGGGUGAAAGCAGGGGAUCUUCGGACCUUGCGCGAUUGAAUGAGCCGAUGUCGGAUUAGCUAGUUGGCAGGGUAAAGGCCCACCAAGGCGACGAUACGUAGCUGGUCUGAGAGGAUGAUCAGCCACACUGGAACUGAGACACGGUCCAGACUCCUACGGGAGGCAGCAGUGGGGAAUAUUGGACAAUGGGCGCAAGCCUGAUCCAGCCAUACCGCGUGGGUGAAGAAGGCCUUCGGGUUGUAAAGCCCUUUUGUUGGGAAAGAAAAGCAGCAGGUUAAUCCCCCGCUGUUCUGACGGUACCCAAAGAAUAAGCACCGGCUAACUUCGUG